AGAAGGAUCUGAUGGCCGCAGGGAAAACCCUAUUUGGCAAGCAAAACUUUUCCUCCUUCCAGGGCCAGAUAAUGGUUUUCUGCCACCCACAAUAGAACUUGAGGAACUGGCUAAACAUGGAUUAGGAAAACCUGUGCACGAGUCAACGGAGGCCGGACGCACAAACUCAAAGAUUGGGUUAAACUGGAGUUUAUCUGAAUUAAACAACCUUUUUUUGCCAAAGCUACCCUCACAUCAGUUUAAAUUUGGUAGGCUUUGAAUUGGCUAGGACAGGCAAAGGACUCAAGAUCCAGAAAUUGCAAGUUAGUUCUGUGAAGGAACUAAAAGCAGUUGUUGGCAAAAGCAGGCUUUACAUCGUGCCACGAGCCACUGUCUUGCAGGUAACAUCACCACCCUCUGCCAUGUCCCAGAAUUCAUUCCCACCACUCGCAGCUCCAGCAGUAGAUGAGACCUCACAAGUGGUUUCAGAUCAGGUGGCAUCCACAUCCUCUGCCAUAUCCAUGAAUUCAUUCCCACCACUCUCAAUUGCUCCGGUACAAGAUGAGACCGUGCCUGUGGCUGAGAGUACCCAAGCUCAAAGUGUGGUUGCAAAUCAGGCUUUUCAAGAAUGGCGAGCAAUACGUGCACAGCAAGACCAGGAGUAUAAUACAAGUUUGUUGGUGGAUCAGGAGAAGGUAAUGCCAAGUUUUAUGUAUGAUUUACAUUCUCUUACAUAAUGCAUACGUACUUUUAAUGUGGUCUUUUAAUAGGAGAGGAAGUAACUAGUCUAUCAGGCUUGUGAGGAAAGACGUCAAAAGGUUUGUGUCUAUAAUAAAUUAGUUUGAUAA